rnacentral:rRNA from 1 species
AUGAAAAUCAUUAGUUGGAACUGCCGGGGGCUCGGGAACGGCCCGGCAGUUCGAUCUCUCCUCAAGUUGGGGAGGGCGGAGGAUCCUGACGUGCUAUUUUUAGCAGAAACGAGGCUCACUGAGAAGGAGUUGGAUCGGUUCCGGUGGAAGUUAGGGCUUGCUAACUAAUCCGCCUGGAACCCAGAGGGGCGAAGCCGGGGAGUUGCAAUGUUUUGGCGGCGAGGGCUUGAUAUAUCCCUUUGUUCGUAUGGGCGGAGGCAUGUUGACGUGGACGUGAAGGAAGAGGAUGGCUCAAUAUGGCGUUUGACAGGCGUUUAUGGGGAGUCGGCGACUGAGAGGAAGAAAUAA